CCUGGCGGCCAUAGCGCCGUGGAACCACCUGAUCCCAUGCCGAACUCAGAAGUGAAACGCGGUAGCGCCGAUGGUAGUGUGGCA
rnacentral:rRNA from 1 species